rnacentral:rRNA from 1 species
ACCCCGCACAAGCCGGUGGAGCAUGUGGUUUAAUUCGACCGAUACGCGAAGAACCUUAACCUGGCCUUGACAUUGAAAGAAUCUUCUAGAGAUAGAAGAGUGCUAGUUUACUAGAGCUUGAAAACAGGUGCUGCACGGCUGUCGUCAGCUCGUGUCGUGAGAUGUUGGGUUAAGUCCCGCAACGAGCGCAACCCUCGUGAUUAGUUACCAGCACUUCGGGUGGGGACUCUAAUCAGACUGCCUUCGUAAGGAGGAGGAAGGUGAGGACGACGUCAAGUCAUCAUGGCCCUUACGGCCAGGGCUACACACGUGCUACAAUGGGGCAUACAAAGAGCAGCGAUACGGUGACGUGGAGCAAAUCUCAUAAAAUGCCUCCCAGUUCGGAUUGUUCUCUGCAACUCGAGAACAUGAAGUUGGAAUCGCUAGUAAUCGUAGAUCAGCAAUGCUACGGUGAAUACGUUCCCGGGUCUUGUACUCACCGCCCGUCACACCAUGGGAGUUGAUUUCAUUCGAAGCGGGGAUGCUAAGAUAGCUACCUUCCACAGUGGAAUUAGCGACUAGGGUGAAGUCGUAACAAGGUAACCGUAAAGGGCGAAUUUC